GUGAAUCAUCGAAUCUUUGAAUGCAAAUUGCACUCUCUUCGGAGAGUAUGCCUGUGUGAGGGUCAGCCUAAGAAAAAUCGACAUAGUUGAUGUUACGCGGUAACAUUCGUCGGAAAUUGGGUGAUGUUAAACCCGUGGGUUUAAGGGGCUGAUAACUUUCUUUACGAUUCCAAGAACGUUGCUAAGAUUUAAUUUUCUUAUAGGUUUACGUUAUCGAUCUUAAUUAGAAAUGGCGUUUGCAUCGUGUAU
rnacentral:misc_RNA from 1 species